GUUCAUGGCUCAGGAUGAACGCUGGCGGCGUGCCUAAUACAUGCAAGUCGAACGCAUCACUUCGGUGAUGAGUGGCGAACGGGUGAGUAAUACAUAAGUAACCUGGCCCAUACAGGGGGAUAACUGCUGGAAACGGCAGCUAAGACCGCAUAUGUGUAGAGAUCGCAUGAACUCUAUAUGAAAAGUGCUAAGGCACUGGUAAGGGAUGGACUUAUGGCGCAUUAG
rnacentral:rRNA from 1 species